rnacentral:rRNA from 1 species
GACGAACGCUGGCGGCGUGCUUAACACAUGCAAGUCGAACGAGGCCCCUCCUUCGGGAGGGUGUCCUAGUGGCGAACGGGUGAGUAACACGUGGGCAACCUGCCCCCGGCUCUGGGAUAACCCCAAGAAAUUGGGGCUAAUACCGGAUAUGACCGCUGACCGCAUGGCCUGGUGGUGGAAAGAUUUAUCGGCUGGGGAUGGGCCCGCGGCCUAUCAGCUUGUUGGUGGGGUAGUGGCCUACCAAGGCGACGACGGGUAGCCGGCCUGAGAGGGGGACCGGCCACACUGGGACUGGGACACGGCCCAGACUCCUACGGGAGGCAGCAGUGGGGAAUAUUGCGCAAUGGGCGGAAGCCUGACGCAGCGACGCCGCGUGAGGGAUGACGGCCUUCGGGUUGUAAACCUCUUUCAGCAGGGACGAAGCGCAAGUGACGGUACCUGCAGAAGAAGCACCGGCCAACUACGUGCCAGCCGCCGCGGUAACAC